CAGAGGCCCCAAGCGUUACUGAGAAUCACUGGGUUUAAAGGGUGCGUAGGUGGCGCGUUAAGUCCGUUGUGAAAGCCCUGGGCUCAACCCAGGAACUGCUUCGGAUACUGGCGCGCUUGAGGCUAGUAGAGGUCACUGGAACUGACGGUGGAGCGGUGAAAUGCGUAGAUAUCGUCAGGAACGCCAAUGGUGAAGACAGGUGACUGGGCUAGUUCUGACACUGAGGCACGAAAGCGUGGGGAGCGAACGGGAUUAGAUACCCCGGUAGUCCACGCCCUAAACGAUGCAGACUAGACUGCAGCGGGUUACACCCCGUCGCGGUCGGAGCGAAAUUGUUAAGUCUGCCACCUGGGAAGUACGGUCGCAAGGCUA
rnacentral:rRNA from 1 species